GACGAACCGUGCGAACGUUAUUCGGAAUCACUGGGCUUAAAGCGCGUGUAGGCGGGACGGCACGUCGGUCGCUGAAAGCCCCCGGCUCAACCGGGGAACGGGCGCCGAUACGACCGUCCUGGAGGGACGUAGGGGGACCUGGAACUUCCGGUGGAGCGGUGAAAUGCGUUGAGAUCGGAAGGAACGCCCGUGGCGAAAGCGAGGUCCUGGACGUUUACUGACGCUGAGACGCGAAAGCCAGGGGAGCGAACGGG
rnacentral:rRNA from 1 species